UGGGCAACCUUGCCCCUCUCUCUGGGAUAACCCCGGGGAAAACCGGAAGCUAAUACCGGAUACUCCGGCUGGAUCGCAUGGUCCGGGCCGGGAAAGGUCCGCCGGAGAGGGAUGGGCCCGCGGCCUAUCAGCUUGUUGGCGGGGUCAUGGCUCACCAAGGCGACGACGGGUAGCUGGU
rnacentral:rRNA from 1 species